rnacentral:lncRNA from 1 species
AUCUCAGAAUUUGGAUAGCUUUUUGGAUUUGGCAUGUAGAUGACUCGGAGAAGUUAUUUCCUUUUACGGGAGACUCAAUUGUGGAGAAAUUCUUUUUUUAUCUGGACUUUCCCAAUUUGGGAUAGAGAGAUGCGAAUCUAGUGUCCAGGAGCUUAGCUCGGCUACGGAUGAGCUAUAAUAGAUCGUUAUAGCUCGUCCAUGGUCGAGGUU